GUGAAUCAUCAAAUUUUUGAACGCAUAUUGCACUCUCUGGUAUUCCGGUGGGUAUGUCUGUUUGAGGGUAAUUAAAAAGAAUAUUUUACCAAUUUUUUUGGUCCAUGGAUAUGAGUUCUCCGCGUUUUUAGCGGUAGGUUGAAAUAAAUGGUCAAGUCUCAUUUUAGUCGAGACGCGUAAUCUUAUUAUUUCGCGUAUUCUUCAUUAUGUGAUUAUC
rnacentral:misc_RNA from 1 species